AUUGAACGCUGGCGGCAGGCCUAACACAUGCAAGUCGAACGAGUGGCGGACGGGUGAGUAAUGUCUGGGAAACUGCCCGAUGGAGGGGGAUAACUACUGGAAACGGUAGCUAAUACCGCAUACCAUCGGAUGUUCCCAGAUGGGAUUAGCUUGUAGGUGCGGUAACGGCUCACCUAGGCGACGAUCCCUAGCUGGUCUGAGAGGAUGACCAGACACACUUGAACUGAGACACGGUCCAGACUCCUACGGGAGGCAGCAGUGGGGAAGAUUGCAGAAUGGGCGCAAGCCUGAUGCAGCCAUGCCGAGUGUAUGAAGAAGGCCUUCGGGUUGUAAGGUACUUUCAGCGGGGAGGCGUUACCAACAGAAUAAGCACGGGCUAACUUCGUGCCAGCAGCCGCGGUAAUUC
rnacentral:rRNA from 1 species